rnacentral:snoRNA from 1 species
GGUUUUGGAUUGAUGGCAGGCCAAACCCCAUAAACUGCUCAUAGUCGCACAGCAAACUGUAACCCCGAACCAUUGCCUGGCUUUGUCCCAUGGGUGUCGGGCACUGAAGUGGGUUGCACAGUG